AAUAAUUUAGUAUAACUAUUACAUAUAAUUUCCACUUAUAAAAUUUAUUUUUAAAAUUAUUA
rnacentral:tRNA from 1 species